CAGUCGCCGCGGUAAUACGAAGGGUGCAAGCGUUACUCGGAAUUACUGGGCGUAAAGCGUGCGUAGGCGGUUGGUUAAGUCUGCUGUGAAAGCCCUGGGCUCAACCUGGGAACUGCAGUGGAAACUGGCCAGCUAGAGUGUGUCAGAGGAUGGUGGAAUUCCCGGCGUAGCGGUGAAAUGCGUAGAGAUCGGGAGGAACACCAGUGGCGAAGGCGGCCAUCUGGGACAACACUGACGCUGAGGCACGAAAGCGUGGGGAGCAAACAGGAUUAGAUACCCCCGUAGUCCCUGUCUCUUAUAC
rnacentral:rRNA from 1 species